UAGGGAAUCUUCGGCAAUGGACGAAAGUCUGACCGAGCAACGCCGCGUGAGUGAAGAAGGUUUUCGGAUCGUAAAACUCUGUUGUUAGAGAAGAACAAGGACGUUAGUAACUGAACGUCCCCUGACGGUAUCUAACCAGAAAGCCACGGCUAACUACGUGCCAGCAGCCGCGGUAAUACGUAGGUGGCAAGCGUUGUCCGGAUUUAUUGGGCGUAAAGCGAGCGCAGGCGGUUUCUUAAGUCUGAUGUGAAAGCCCCCGGCUCAACCGGGGAGGGUCAUUGGAAACUGGGAGACUUGAGUGCAGAAGAGGAGAGUGGAAUUCCAUGUGUAGCGGUGAAAUGCGUAGAUAUAUGGAGGAACACCAGUGGCGAAGGCGGCUCUCUGGUCUGUAACUGACGCUGAGGCUCGAAAGCGUGGGGAGCAAAAAGG
rnacentral:rRNA from 1 species